AGAAGGUUCUUGAACGCUCUAAAACCAUUCCCCAGCACAUCACAAACAGGGUCACGAAACCCUAAACAGAACGCAGGAGAAAAUGUCGCACUUCGGGAGAACUGGCCCUCCGGACAUCGCUGAUACUUAUUCUCUCCUCGUCCUCAACAUCACUUUCCGUACCACGGCAGAUGAUCUCUUUCCUCUUUUCGACAAGUACGGGAAGGUUGUCGAUAUCUUCAUCCCCCGGGACAGAAGGACUGGUGAGUCACGUGGGUUUGCGUUUGUUCGUUACAAGUAUGCAGAGGAAGCACAGAAGGCCGUAGAUAGGCUGGAUGGAAGAGUGGUCGAUGGACGGGAAAUGGCUGUUCAAUUUGCCAAAUAUGGGCCAAAUGCAGAACGAAUUCACCAGGGGAGGAUCAUUGAGAAAGAUCCUGGAAUCAAGGGAAGCUCAAGAAGCAGAAGCCCUCGUAGAAGAUACCGCGAUGACUAUCAUAGAGAGAGAGAAUACAGGAGAAGUAGGAGCAGAAGUGUUGAUCGCUAUGAGCGUGAUAGGUAUCGACGGAGAGAGCGGGGUUAUCGCCAUCGGUCCAGGAGCCGCAGCUUAAGUCCAGACUAUGAUCGAGAUCGUAGCAGGGGACGUGAAAGAAAACACCAUAGGCGGAGCCCAUCAUAUGACAGUGCCUCCCCAGCUCGGCGUAGUCCCAGUCCUCACAGGAAAGAGUCUCCUCUUAGAAGCUUAUCACCUACAAAAGGAAGUCCUGAGAAGCGCGUUCGCAAUGAACGCUCUCCAACUCCUCGAAGCUGUUCGCCUCCAGGUCGAGCAAUGGAUUCACGAAGCCCUUCUCCUCGUGUUGAUGAGGAGUAACUUUCUGGUGGCCUAAUAUGAGAACAAGCAGACAAGUGCAUCAACUUUAGCUGUCUUCUGAAUGUCUUAAAACACAAAAUGUGAUGCAAUUUCUAGGCAGAGUAUUAGCUGACAUUUUGGUUUUAUAGUUAUGAUCGAGAGAAGGUUGGUGAGGUUGAUAUCAGAUGAUGAUGGUGAUGGUGAUGUUGCUGUCAACCCUCAUAAUAGCUUAUAGUUAGUUCGUGAAAUUUGAGGAGGCUGAUUGGUAGAUUAUGUGUUGAUUGUCAGUGCUGAUGGUUAGCUGUUGAUAUGCAGCUUCUGAUGCUGUUUGUAGUUAAUGUAUUUGCAAUGCAUGAACAGCAGAUGCUGGCUGGAGAUUUUCUAUGUGCACCAGUGUAUAAUAUAUUGGGUAAGCCUUUUUCUCCGGUCAAGAGCUCACAAGUCUUAUCUUGUUUUCAUCCAUAGUAAAGGAGCUCAUCACGUUCUAUUAUUAAAUAUAAUAAUAAGCUUCAUCCAAGGAUUAGUUUUCCCAAAGAAUCUCUUUCUAGCUUUUACCUUCUUUUUUUUUUUUGGGGGGGGGGGGGGGGUUAGUCUUUUGCGAAGUUUGGUGCUUAUAAAUUGUCUGAAAAAGGGAUGGGAUGCAACUAGUUAUGUAGGAUGUACGGAGGAUGAAUCUACCUCUGUGCCUGAUGCUGCUAGUGAGGUGUCCCAUUGUCAAAGCUGAUGUUAGUUGUCCUACUUGCUGGCCCCUGAAUAGGGUGAACAUCUCAUGUGGUCUAUUUUGCCCCCAACAUGCAUAACAGAUGAGAAAUAUCAUACCUUAUCCAGCCAGAUGAUCAUGUCUUGUUGUGAUGCUUUUGUUGACACUUUCUUGCUCGUGGAUCGUGAUUGUAGCUGAAUGAAAGGCUGGUUAAUUGUCCGGUCGAACAUCCUUUUAGCUUCUGGGUGCACCUGAUCUUCGAGAACUUCACUUGAUCUGACGUUAUCCUUCGUGAUUCAGCUUCAGCGCUUUUUUUUUUUGAUCUUCGAGAACUUCACUUGUUUGGUGUUCACUCUGAUCUGAUCUUCAGCGCUUCAAGAUUAUUAUAGAUUCUGUUUUAAACCUUAAAAACCAAUGACUUUGUUGUUUGAAUCCCUCAACUAUCCCCUUUGAUCUAUUAGGCUGUGAGGGUCUUUGGGAUAGUUAGUAUUGAUGAGGUCUACUGCCUAUUUGGGAUAGUAAUUAUUGAAGGCUUGGUA